rnacentral:rRNA from 1 species
UCCUACGGGGCGCAGCAGUAGGGAAUCUUCCACAAUGGACGAAAGUCUGAUGGAGCAACGCCGCGUGAGUGAAGAAGGGUUUCGGCUCGUAAAGCUCUGUUGGUAGUGAAGAAAGAUAGAGGUAGUAACUGGCCUUUAUUUGACGGUAAUUACUUAGAAAGUCACGGCUAACUACGUGCCAGCAGCCGCGGUAAUACGUAGGUGGCAAGCGUUGUCCGGAUUUACUGGGUGUAAAGGGAGCGCAGGCGGCCUGCCAAGUCU